GCGACGAUGGUGAAAGGGCUAUCAUCUGCGCUUCCCAUCUUCUUAAGACCUGCGCAGGGUCCGAGUUCGAGUCUCGGUCGUCGCA